CCUUUUGGUUUCAUUCAUCGUGAUUGGAAUUUGUCGCCGCUGCCGCUUGAGGUGGCUGCCGGGCUGCCGUUGAACCGGUUCAGAGACCGCCACUAUUCCGGUUCAGCUGUUCCUUCUUCAUUCGUGUUGCUGUGGUUACCACGGGAGUGGCUUGGAGCCAAGGUUGCGUUGUUGGUGAUCUCGGUUUAAGAGAGGAGGUUCCUGUGACGCGUUUGGAUUAUGGAAUUGCGUUUUGAGGAUAUGGGCGCAGAAGUUACGAAGAGCUUAUUUAAUUGUUGUUGUGAUGCUCUGUAUUG